CGUGGGGAACCUACCGUAUGCAGGGGGACAACAGUCAGAAAUGACUGCUAAUACCGCAUAAGCACACAAUGCUGCAUGGCAUGGUGUGAAAAGAUUUAUCGGCAUACGAUGGCCCCGCGUCUGAUUAGCCAGUUGGCAGGGUAACGGCCUACCAAAGCAACGAUCAGUAGCCGGCUUGAGAGAGUGACCGGCCACAUUGGGACUGAGACACGGCCCAGACUCCUACGGGAGGCAGCAG
rnacentral:rRNA from 1 species